CCUAUGGGGGGCACCAGUCGCGAAAACUUCACAAUGGGGGCAACCCCGAUGAGGGAAUUCCUAGUGCUGACACUUUUUUGUGUCAGCUUUUCUUUAGCGUAGAUAACUAGAGGAAUAAGGGCUGGGUAAGACGGGUGCCAGCCGCCGCGGUAAUACCCGCAGCCCGAGUGGUGGUCGACUUUAUUGAGUCUAAAACGUUCGUAGCCGGUUCGCUAAAUCCUUGGGUAAAUCGGAAAGCUUAACUUUCCGAAUUCCGAGGAGACUGGCGAACUUGGGACCGGGAGAGGCAAGAGGUACUUGGGGGGUAGGGGUAAAAUCCUGUAAUCCUCCAAGGACCACCGGUGGCGAAGGCGUCUUGCUAGAACGGAUCCGACGGUGAGGGACGAAGCCCUGGGUCGCAAACGGGAUUAGAUACCCCCGUAGUCC
rnacentral:rRNA from 1 species